UUAAAAAUAAAGGAAUAUUACUUAUUUUUUAAUUUAACUGAAAUUUUAAACUUAGCAGUGUAGCAAUUUACCAUGAAUGGAAACUGCUAUUUUUGUUAUUUAGUGUCCUGUAAUGGUGUUGAGUGGUGACGAAUAGCUCAUUCUCCGAAAUCUGAUAUUUAGUCAUUACGUCAUUCAGAUGUGUGGGUCCUCUGCACUUCCUCAACCUGUUAUGCAAGAAUGGGAAGCCAUUACUGGGCAUCGCUUAUUGGAGCGAUAUGGCAUGACUGAAGUAAGUUCACUUUGGUUUAAGUUCUUCAACUUUGCAAGAAAUCAUAUAGUGUAUCAUACUGUUCUCAAUUUUACAGUAAAUUUCUAUGAUGAAUCUUACAUUAUUAUGUUAAUGUUUCUAGUUUGUCAUGGCAUUGUCAAAUCCAUUGAAAGGUGAGCGUAAGGCAGGCACUGUUGGCAAACCGUUUCCUGGUAUACAGGUCAGUUAAGAUUGCAGUUUUCCGUUUGCUGUUCACCAUCAAAUUUUGGCUUUAUGAUCUCCGAUUCCGUUGUUUCAAUAUUGGUCUGACAAGAUAAGAUAGCUUAAACAACAACGUCAGCGAUUUUCGUAACUAAUGUUUUGGACACAAGUUUCAAUGUCAGGUUAAGGAAACCACAUUUAUUAGUCUAACAACACUAAUUGAAGUUAUAUAUGACUGAAACCUACAGGAUAUAUAUAUGUGAAAGAAGUUGAUUUCGGCAUACCUAAGAGUUGGAUGUUUUACUAUGAACCUGGAGACCUCAAGUGUUAUUGAUUCUCAACAUGAAAGAUAUUUAUCACAUGGAAUUUUAAUUUUCUCUUUUCUGUAUGUGUGACAGGUCAAGAUUCUUGCAGAUGAGGACAACAAGAGUGAAACAAAAGGAGUUGGCGAGCUUUGUGUUAAAAGCCCUUCGUUGUUUAAUCAAUAUUGGAAACUUCCCGAGGUACUUUGAGAAUGCUAGUUAGUUCUGUUUAAUGAUUCUGAAAUCAUCAUUUAGUAAAUGAUUGUUGGCAUUGCCUAUUCUUUUGAUUCUUAUACUCGAAAAAGUUCCUUAUUGAUGUAUGCGAUAUAUGAUUAUGUGCACCCAUAUGUAAUAUUCAAAGACUUUAUGUCUUCUUACGUGAGAAGCAGUUAUUUGAGCAACAGAAUUCCAAAGAUGCUAAAGAUAGAGCACAGCAAAAGGAAUAUAAUAUGAAUUUGAGUAACAAAAAUAACCAAGACUCCAAAUAUAGAACAUGAUAAAAGAAACCUAACACAUUGGUCUGAGAGAUGUUAUUUAUUAUUAUUAUUAUUUUCAUGCAGGUAACAAAGGAAUCAUUCACUGAUGAUGGAUUCUUUAGGACUGGCGAUGCAGCUACUACAGAUGAAGAUGGAUAUUACAUCAUUCUAGGACGUAAGGAAAUCUAUAUUUCUCGAUUCAUGCUGUUGUAUGAUUACCUGUAAGAGUCAGAGCUUUGAGUGCAUUCUGCAGCAUGGGUUUCAUGUCUUAAUAUAUGUAGUAUCCCAAUUUAAAAUUUCUAGGAUGCUAUCCAACUUUAAAUUUUAAAGUUCGGAUUAUAGAAAAUCGCGACAUUGUCAACCAUGGUGAUAUACGCUACAUACAAUAUCUACGUUUAAUGUUGUGCAUGCCAACUUGGUGUAAAAUAUUAUUAGCAAUUCAGCAUAAGUGAUAGCCAAAGUAAAUUCUUCGGUUACUCUGAUCUAAUGUGAAAUUUCUGUCUUGCAUGAUGUACAUACUCUCUACUUGUUUAUCAGGUACUAAUGCUGAUAUAAUCAAGGUCGGUGGCUAUAAACUGUCUGCAUUAGAAAUUGAAUCCGUUAUAGUAGAGGCAAGUAGCUACUCUUUUCUCAAUCUACGGUUGUUCGUUGUUAAGAACUCUUUGUAUACUCACGCAAUUUCUCCACGAAAGGAGCCGGAUAUAACAAAUGAUAUGAUAUUCACAAUGCGAACCUUUUUUGCAGCAUCCGGCCAUAUCAGAAUGUUGUGUUUUGGGCAUACCAGACAAAGAUUAUGGAGAAAUUGUUGGUGCCAUUAUUGUAGCAGACGCUGAUCUUAAGCGAAAGCGUGAUGAGGAGUCAAAGCCUCCUCUAACCUUAGAAGAAUUAUCCACCUGGGCCAAAGACAAAAUUGCACCAUACAAGGUAUGCAGCAUGAACACAUUGAAUAUUUGAUGCAUAAAUUCACCUGUGUUCAUGACAGGCUUAGGACUUAGGAGCUUUAAAAGUAUAUUUUUUUGAUGAUUUGUUUAUAUCUUGUUAGAUACCGACUCGGCUAAUCGUGUGGGACUCAAUCCCUCGCAACGCAAUGGGGAAGGUAAUUUACUUUCGCUUUUAUGCAGUCUAUGGAGUUUGAACACCAUUUCCUUUUUAGCAUGAAUAGUGUUAUUUGGGAAGAAAAUUUAACUCUUCUUUUGUGUUUGUGAAAUUUCAGGUGAAUAAAAAAGAGCUGAAGAAAUUGCUGGUUUCAGAAGAGUAAAUUGCAUAUUAGCAUUUAUUUAUUAGGCAAAGUCCAUUUUCUGAAACCAGUUUUAAGAUAAUUUCAAACUCUAAUAAAUUUGCACCAGUUCUGUACAUGGAGAUGCAACAUUUCUCUAGUACACUAUGCUUUAGUCUAUUAGCAAAAAAGAAAGAAAAAAGGAAUAUAAAAGGAAACUGAGAAAUAAUUAUUUUAAGUUCAGUGUUUUAGAUUCAUAAGGAUGAUAUCAAGGAAGAUUGUCUUUGAUGGAUGGCUUGUUCUAAAGUAUGUUUCAAAAUAUACUUCAAACUAAUGUAAAUGAACGAAAAAUAGAAAAAAUAAUUAAUUUGGAUGACUAAAAUUUGGACAAUUUGAACAGGUAGGAAUGUAAAAAUUAGACAAGGAUGAUUUGCCGGAGGGGUGAUAAUUGGAUGGUUUUGGAUAUGGAUCUUAAUGGAUGGAUAGAAAACUAUCCACCAAUCCAUGUAGAUUCAUUACAUCACAUUUUUAGAUUAUCCAAUCAUCCCUAUCCAAUUAAUUCAAAUUCAUCCAUUCUAUCCAACCUACUUUUUUUAAUUUGAAUAAAACAUUUUUAAUAAAGCAAUUUGAAAAAGAAAAAUUAUUUUAAAAAUUAUUAUUUAAUAAAGCAUUUUUAAAUAUCAAUUUUAAAAAAAUAAUUUUCUUAACAAACACUUUUAAAAAGUGCUUUUUUGAUAAAUACUUUUAAAAAUGUGAAUUUGUUAAGUUUUUUUUAUAAGCAUUUUUAUUGGCAAGAAUCUCUGGUGCAACAUAAUCGGUAGGAGUGUAAAAGUUUGAUUCGGUUUUUGACACAAUUUAGUGUCCGAACACAAAGAUAUGGUUCGGUUCUACUUGAUUAACCGCAAAUUUUAUUUAGGAACCGAACCGUUCAUUUAUGUUUCAGUUCGGUUCCGUGGUUUUUCAACUUAUUUAAAGAAAAUCCUUUAUGAAAUAGUUGAACAAAAUUUGCAAAGUAUAGAAUCAACUAAAUGAAUAUUAUACGCAUCAAUAAUAAAGUAUUUAAUAUUCUUUCUAGUAAAACAAUAAUAAUUCAACAUCUCAACGCACUACAAACUUGAAAUUUUAGUUCACAAAAUCUUCGACAAUGUCAAACAAAAUUUAAGAAUGACAAACUUGGUACUAAUUCUAUAGUCCAACAGUCUAUCUUCUCAAUGAAUAAUAGAGAUAAUAUAUAUUUGAGUUUGUUUACUAAUUUAUUUUUUCUAUUUGCCUCUUACUUAUAGCCUAUAUGUAUUAAUAAUCAUAAAUUUUUAAUCAUAUUUUAUCUCCUAACUUUAAAGCUUAACAAUCUAAAUAUAAAAUAAAAUUAUUUUUUAAUAUGCGAUUCGAUUCAGUUCUAACGGUUCCAAAAUUUACAAAAUCGUGAACCGAACCGAACUUAAAUGGUUCCAAAUAAAAUAGCUUUUUGUUGCUAAAAAUCUAAUUGUCUUGUUGAAGGUUGAAUUUUUGCCAAAGUUUAGUGUGAGGGGAAUUUGGCAGAGAUGGCGUGAGUCAUAUCCAACUGAAGGAUCUAAGUCUGAUGAUGCUAUAACUUUGUUUACUGGAGUAAGUAUAAUUCUGUUAAGCUUUGCUCAGUUCUAUGAUAUGAUUCAUUCCCAUGGUACCUUUGUUUUUCUAUGUAAUCUUAGCUCCACUGAAGAUAAAUGUCUUCUUUGCCAUAAUCGUAAAAGACAAUUUAUAGGCCAUAUAAUGGUGUUCUUUGUAAUGUCUGUAAAUUCAUAGGUUGCACCUAAAAUCCAUAUUUGCUAUUAAUACUAGUUACUAUGAUUGGAAAACUUGUCUUGGGUGACCUUGUUCUGAUGAAGUUCUUUUGUAAAUGAAGGUUCCGACUAUAUACACCCGAUUAAUACAAGGUUAUCAUGCAAUGGAUCCUGAGCUAAAAGCCACUUCAGCUUCUGCUGCAAGGAACUUGCGUCUUAUGGUAAGAGAAAAGGAAGCAUCUUAGUACCAAUCAUUUUUUUAUCUGUUAAAAGUGGAUAAUGAAAAUUUUGUUGGCAUUUUAAAAAUAAAGGAAUAUUACUUAUUUUUUAAUUUAACUGAAAUUUUAAACUUAGCAGUGUAGCAAUUUACCAUGAAUGGAAACUGCUAUUUUUGUUAUUUAGUGUCCUGUAAUGGUGUUGAGUGGUGACGAAUAGCUCAUUCUCCGAAAUCUGAUAUUUAGUCAUUACGUCAUUCAGAUGUGUGGGUCCUCUGCACUUCCUCAACCUGUUAUGCAAGAAUGGGAAGCCAUUACUGGGCAUCGCUUAUUGGAGCGAUAUGGCAUGACUGAA
rnacentral:lncRNA from 1 species